GGCAAAAUGAACUAAAAAAAAAAUUAAUUAAUUUUAUUAGGGAAAGUAAAUACAAAGGCAUAAGCCACAGUUUCAUCUUAUCAAGAUAUUAUUCAUUAGGAAAUUUACAGCAUUCACUGCAAGAGAAAAACUUAUUAUAUAUAUAUGUGUGUGUGAAAUGGAAGGGAGGGUCACAUGAGGUUGCAGGAAUAGUUCAUACAGCUGAAAAGGGUGUAAUCUUGAAAUCAAGAUCCCAUAGCUCAAAAUUUCCCUCGACAAAAUCAUAGUGUGCACCUUUCAAUGCCAGAGUUUUUUUCAGCAAUCCUUCUCUCACGAAUGGAUACGUCAACAAGUUUCCUAGCGAAACAUUCACAGCCUCCUGCAUUUUUCCAUUAACAACUAUAUAUAAGCAUUAAUUAAUUCCUUACGAUUCUUGAAAUCUCUUUUAUUAUGGUGCAUGCACCAUAAAGGGAACCUUUUUCCUUUCAAACUUAUUUAUUUGAAGGUUUCCUUUAAACUAAAACGUGAUUAUAAUAAUAAACUACAAAUAAAGAAACAAAUUAAAAUUAAGCUGCACUGAAUUUAACUUGCCUUCUCGCAAUUGUGGCAUUGCUCUUCAAAACUCAAGCUGUUGCAGUCUGUCUUAACCUUGGCCUUUGCAGUUGAGCAGAUUUGGACCCAAUUUUCUAUGAAUUCACUAGAAGUGGUCCCAUCAUCUGGGAUAGACAUGAGCCCCUUAAUACCACCGCAGCGGCUGUGGCCAAUGACUACUAUAUUCUCCACCUGACCUCAAGAUUCAAAAGAAAAGAUGAUAAGAAACCGAUUAACUGAGUAAUAGAACUUACAGCAUUUAUCCAUUUUUUUUAUAUGCAGUGCAGGCAACAAAACAGCAUAUUACCAUGAAUAAAUCCAAGAAAUAUUUUUCAUAUCAAGUAGAAAAAUUAAAUGACAUGGAAGACAUCCAUCUCUUUCAGUAUAGUGGUUGGCCUGGGUCCAUUUGGCAAUUGGCAUUAUAAGUGAAAAAUUUAUAUAAAGUAUGUAGGGCAAAAGUAUAAUGACUAGACUUCACGUUCCCCUCCACCAUUGUUGGUUAUAAAAGAGCCACACCAUUAAAGAAUUAACGUAUUGGGGUGUUAAGAGUAAAAAGUUAAUCGACUAUU
rnacentral:misc_RNA from 1 species